rfam:Salmo salar isolate Sally breed double haploid chromosome ssa01, whole genome shotgun sequence.
AGCAUUCACUACUGUAAAUCGCUCUGGAUAAGAGUGUCUGCUAAAUGACUAAAA